rnacentral:lncRNA from 1 species
GAACGCUAUUUUAGGAUUAUUGUUACCACUGACAAUGCCCAAAACAAGAACAACAAAGGCCCAAAGGUGGCUGUUUGGUAGUGCGCAAAGCUGCUGGUGGUGGUGGACGUCUCUGCCCUGACGCGCGGCGUGCGUCUGCUCAGUGUGGAGGUGCCGCUGACAGCGGUGCCGGCCGGACCGGCUGCCUCUCCGGCGGCCGACAUUGAGCGCGGCACGUGUCCGCCGCCGUUCGGGCCGCUGCAGCUGCUGCAGUCGGCGGCGCAGCUGUCCGUCUCCGUGUCGCUGGCCGUGCCGCUGGACCUGCUGCCGCGGCCGGCGCCGGCGCGCUGCGCCUACGGCCGCCUGCUGGCCGUCGUCUCGCAGCGCGGCCUGCAGCGCAGCGGCGUGCUGCAGCUCAUCCAGCAGCUCAACGAGCCGCCCAGCCCGGCGGCGGCCGAGGGCGCCGCGCCGCGCCGGCCCGGCGACGUCAGCACACCUGGCAUCAGCGGCUUCUGCCUGUCCGACCGUCAGCUGCACCUGCUGUUCGCCGAGGGGCGCGCCGACGCCGAGCUGGAACAGACGGCGGCCGCGCCGCGCGCUCUGCCGCGCCGCGACACUCGACUCUGCCACCACUCGGGCCUACUGUUACGCCGUCCGCGCCAUCAGAGAGUGCUUCCGCACGCAGUGGCUGUCGGAAAAUGAACCUGCUUCCCAACGAGGCCGGCCUGCAACAACUGCUGGCCGGCUGUUGGCCGAAAAAAAAACGCCUUCAACCGGAUGUCAGUUGUCAAAUCAACGCGUAUUAAUGCAUUCACUAGGAUGGGCUUACGUAAAGCUGUAGAAUUGCAAAUAUAUAAUGGCACUGUUUUUGA